rnacentral:rRNA from 1 species
AUUGAACGCUGGCGGCAGGCCUAACACAUGCAAGUCGAACGGCAGCACAGAAGAGCUUGCUCUUUGGGUGGCGAGUGGCGGACGGGUGAGUAAUGUCUGGGAAACUGCCCGAUGGAGGGGGAUAACUACUGGAAACGGUAGCUAAUACCGCAUAACGUCGCAAGACCAAAGUGGGGGACCUUCGGGCCUCACACCAUCGGAUGUGCCCAGAUGGGAUUAGCUAGUAGGUGGGGUAAUGGCUCACCUAGGCGACGAUCCCUAGCUGGUCUGAGAGGAUGACCAGCCACACUGGAACUGAGUCACGGUCCAGACUCCUACGGGAGGCAGCAGUGGGGAAUAUUGCACAAUUGGCGCAAGCCUGAUGCAGCCAUGCCGCGUGUAUGAAGAAGGCCUUCGGGUUGUAAAGUACUUUCAGCGGGGAGGAAGGCGGUGAGGUUAAUAACCUUGCCGAUUGACGUUACCCGCAGAAGAAGCACCGGCUAACUCCGUGCCAGCAGCCGCCGUAA